AUUGAACGCUGGCGGCAGGCUUAACACAUGCAAGUCGAGCGGGGGAAGGUAGCUUGCUACCGGACCUAGCGGCGGACGGGUGAGUAAUGCUUAGGAAUCUGCCUAUUAGUGGGGGACAACGUCUCGAAAGGGAUGCUAAUACCGCAUACGUCCUACGGGAGAAAGCAGGGGAUCUUCGGACCUUGCGCUAAUAGAUGAGCCUAAGUCGGAUUAGCUAGUUGGUGGGGUAAAGGCCUACCAAGGCGACGAUCUGUGGCGGGUCUGAGAGGAUGAUCCGCCACACUGGGACUGAGACACGGCCCAGACUCCUACGGGAGGCAGCAGUGGGGAAUAUUGGACAAUGGGGGGAACCCUGAUCCAGCCAUGCCGCGUGUGUGAAGAAGGCCUUAUGGUUGUAAAGCACUUUAAGCGAGGAGGAGGCUACUUUAGUUAAUACCUAGAGAUAGUGGACGUUACUCGCAGAAUAAGCACCGGCUAACUCUGUGCCAGCAGCCGCCGUAA
rnacentral:rRNA from 1 species